ACUAGAGACUGUAAAAUAAGCCAGAAAUAUAAACCAAAAAUGCAACAAUUAAUGAGAAACACUAAAAGGGGCAUCGACAGAAGCAAAGAGCAGGGAAGGGAAGCAAUUAGCUGAGGGUAAUGGGGCCAAGAGAAAGCACGGAAGAGACGGAGAGGCAGCAGUGGGUCAGUUGCCUGUGGGAGGCACUGUGACAUCACUAGGAGGCUUUGUGAUGUCAGAGGAGGGGGAAGGGAGGGAGGGCAUUGUGAUGUCAGAGAGGGAGGGGGAAGCUGGGGGGUGGUCCUGGGGAGAUAAUUGUGAAAAGAAGAAUGUGGGAAGAAAUGAGGGAUACACGUUAUGAGAGAGGUUUUCACAGAGUGAAAGAAAAUGAGGAAAUUCAGUGAUUUGCUCAACGUGACAAGAGAAAGUAUGCUAAAAACUAAAAUGGGUUGUGUGGGUUUUCCCCUAAAAGAUAGGGCAGAAAUGCAGAGGUGGAAAAGGAAAAUGGAAAGAUGAUGAAGAACUGAUGAUACUCAAACAACAAAAAUCAAAACAAUUUAUUAAAAGAAUAACUGCUAUAGU